rnacentral:rRNA from 1 species
UCUUGACUAUAAACUACCCAUUACCUGGGAACUACGAAUAAAUAAAAUUUAAAACCCAAAGAACUUGGCGGUGUUCUAGACUACUUAGGGGAACCUGUUCCAUAAUCGACAAUCCACGCUACACCUAACCUUUUUUAGCAGCCAGUCUGUAUACCGUUGUCGCCAGGCGACUUUUAAAAAUAAAGAAGUUGGCAAUAAAAAUUAAAUUAAACGUCAAAUCAAGGUACAGCCAAUAAAAAGGUGUGAAUGGGUUACAAUUAAAAUUCAUAAUAUGAAUUAAAAUCAGAAAUAACUUUAUGAAGGAGGACUUAAAAGUAAAAAGAUAAUUAUAAAAAUCUCUUGAAUACAGCUCUGGAACGUGC